rnacentral:rRNA from 1 species
AGUGCUUAACACAUGCAAGUCGAACGGAAAGGCCCUGCUUGCAGGGUACUCGAGUGGCGAACGGGUGAGUAACACGUGGGUGAUCUGCCCUGCACUUCGGGAUAAGCUUGGGAAACUGGGUCUAAUACCGGAUAGGAACCAUCUUUAGUGUGGUGGUUGGAAAGUUUUUUCGGUGUAGGAUGAGCUCGCGGCCUAUCAGCUUGUUGGUGGGGUAAUGGCCUACCAAGGCGGCGACGGGUAGCCGGCCUGAGAGGGUGUACGGCCACAUUGGGACUGAGAUACGGCCCAGACUCCUACGGGAGGCAGCAGUGGGGAAUAUUGCACAAUGGGCGCAAGCCUGAUGCAGCGACGCCGCGUGGGGGAUGAAGGCCUUCGGGUUGUAAACUCCUUUCGCUAGGGACGAAGCUUUUCGUGACGGUACCUAGAUAAGAAGCACCGGCUAACUACGUGCCAGCAGCCGCGGUAAUACGUAGGGUGCGAGCGUUGUCCGGAAUUACUGGGCGUAAAGGGCUCGUAGGUGGUUUGUCGCGUCGUCUGUGAAAUUCUGGGGCUUAACUCCGGGCGUGCAGGCGAUACGGGCAUAACUUGAGUGCUGUAGGGGUAACCGGAAUUCCUGGUGUAGCGGUGAAAUGCGCAGAUAUCAGGAGGAACACCGAUGGCGAAGGCAGGUUACUGGGCAGUUACUGACGCUGAGGAGCGAA